rnacentral:misc_RNA from 1 species
GAAAUGCGAUAAGUAAUGUGAAUUGCAGAAUACUGUGAGUCAUCAAAUGCUUGAACGCAAAUGGCGCCUGUCGAUAGAAAGACAGGCACAUCUGUUUGAGUGUCGUUUUUUUCCAUAAUCAAAAAAGGUAGCCCUUUUUUUUGGCGAAUGAGUGUUCCACAAGGGGUGGAUCACUUGAAAUGGAAACUUUUCGAAGGACGCUAAAAAUCAGGUGAUUUGAAAGAGUGUUCUUUUAACACACUUGAUCAUUACCAAAUUUCUGCUUUUUGCGGCCCUUCCCCCAGGAGUAAGCAUUUCCAAAAAUCGACCUCAAAUCAGGUGAGAUUACCCGCUGAACUUAA